rnacentral:rRNA from 1 species
UGGGGAAUAUUGCACAAUGGGGGAAACCCUGAUGCAGCGACGCCGCGUGAACGAAGAAGGUAUUCGUAUCGUAAAGUUCUGUCCUAUGGGAAGAUAAUGACAGUACCAUAGAAGAAAGCUCCGGCUAAAUACGUGCCAGCAGCCGCGGUAAUACGUAUGGAGCGAGCGUUGUCCGGAAUUAUUGGGCGUAAAGGGUACGCAGGCGGUUUAAUAAGUCGAAUGUUAAAGAUCGGAGCUCAACCCCGUAAAGCAUUGGAAACUGAUAAACUUGAGUAGUGGAGAGGAAAGUGGAAUUCCUAGUGUAGUGGUGAAAUACGUAGAUAUUAGGAGGAAUACCAGUAGCGAAGGCGACUUUCUGGACACAAACUGACGCUGAGGUACGAAAGCGUGGGGAGCAAACAGG